rnacentral:rRNA from 1 species
AGUGAACGCUGGCGGUAGGCCUAACACAUGCAAGUCGAACGGCAGCACAGUAAGAGCUUGCUCUUACGGGUGGCGAGUGGCGGACGGGUGAGGAAUACAUCGGAAUCUACUUUUUCGUGGGGGAUAACGUAGGGAAACUUACGCUAAUACCGCAUACGACCUACGGGUGAAAGCAGGGGAUCUUCGGACCUUGCGCGAUUGAAUGAGCCGAUGUCGGAUUAGCUAGUUGGCGGGGUAAGGGCCCACCAAGGCGACGAUCCGUAGCUGGUCUGAGAGGAUGAUCAGCCACACUGGAACUGAGACACGGUUCAGACUCCUACGGGAGGCAGCAGUGGGGAAUAUUGGACAAUGGGCGCAAGCCUGAUCCAGCCAUACCGCGUGGGUGAAGAAGGCCUUCGGGUUGUAAAGCCCUUUUGUUGGGAAAGAAAAGCAGCAGGUUAAUACCCCGCUGUUCUGACGGUACCCAAAGAAUAAGCACCGGCUAACUUCGUG